UGUGAAAAAUGCAAAAAACGCCAAUUUUAGCCAGUGUUUGUGACUAAGUGGCUACUAAAAAAGACUGGACAUACCCUGUUUGCAAUACCUUGGGUUGUCUACUAUUGCAAAUGGUAUGCCAUCAUAGGGGUAAUUUUCAUUCUUGGGCUACCACAGGGUCUCAAAGGCAACGUAACCAAUCUGGCGAAUUUUAAUGUGAAAAAAAUGAAACGCAAGCCUUAUAUUUGACGCUGUAACUUUUGA